GGGGUUGUAGCACAGUGGCAGAGCACUUGACUAGCAUGUGAGGCAUUGGGUUCGAUCCUCAACAACACCA
rnacentral:tRNA from 1 species